GAACGCUAGCUACAGGCUUAACACAUGCAAGUCGAGGGGCAGCAUGGUCUUAGCUUGCUAAGGCCGAUGGCGACCGGCGCACGGGUGAGUAACACGUAUCCAACCUGCCGUCUACUCUUGGACAGCCUUCUGAAAGGAAGAUUAAUACAAGAUGGCAUCAUGAGUCCGCAUGUUCACAUGAUUAAAGGUAUUCCGGUAGACGAUGGGGAUGCGUUCCAUUAGAUAGUAGGCGGGGUAACGGCCCACCUAGUCUUCGAUGGAUAGGGGUUCUGAGAGGAAGGUCCCCCACAUUGGAACUGAGACACGGUCCAAACUCCUACGGGAGGCAGCAGUGAGGAAUAUUGGUCAGUGGGCGAGAGCCUGAACCAGCCAAGUAGCGUGAAGGAUGACUGCCCUAUGGGUUGUAAACUUCUUUUAUAAAGGAAUAAAGUCGGGUAUGGAUGCCCGUUUGCAUGUACUUUAUGAAUAAGGAUCGGCUAACUCCGUGCCAGCAGCCGCGGUAAUACGGAGGAUCCGAGCGUUAUCCGGAUUUAUUGGGUUUAAAGGGAGCGUAGAUGGAUGUUUAAGUCAGUUGUGAAAGUUUGCGGCUCAACCGUAAAAUUGCAGUUGAUACUGGAUAUCUUGAGUGCAGUUGAGGCAGGCGGAAUUCGCGGUGUAGCGGUGAAAUGCUUAGAUAUCACGAAGAACUCCGAUUGCGAAGGCAGCCUGCUAAGCUGCAACUGACAUUGAGGCUCGAAAGUGUGGGUAUCAAACAGGAUUAGAUACCCUGGUAGUCCACACGGUAAACGAUGAAUACUCGCUGUUUGCGAUAUACAGCAAGCGGCCAAGCGAAAGCGUUAAGUAUUCCACCUGGGGAGUACGCCGGCAACGGUGAAACUCAAAGGAAUUGACGGGGGCCCGCACAAGCGGAGGAACAUGUGGUUUAAUUCGAUGAUACGCGAGGAACCUUACCCGGGCUUAAAUUGCAGAUGAAUUACGGUGAAAGCCGUAAGCCGCAAGGCAUCUGUGAAGGUGCUGCAUGGUUGUCGUCAGCUCGUGCCGUGAGGUGUCGGCUUAAGUGCCAUAACGAGCGCAACCCUUGUUGUCAGUUACUAACAGGUUCCGCUGAGGACUCUGACAAGACUGCCAUCGUAAGAUGUGAGGAAGGUGGGGAUGACGUCAAAUCAGCACGGCCCUUACGUCCGGGGCUACACACGUGUUACAAUGGGGGGUACAGAGGGCCGCUACCACGCGAGUGGAUGCCAAUCCCAAAAACCUCUCUCAGUUCGGACUGGAGUCUGCAACCCGACUCCACGAAGCUGGAUUCGCUAGUAAUCGCGCAUCAGCCACGGCGCGGUGAAUACGUUCCCGGGCCUUGUACACACCGCCCGUCAAGCCAUGGGAGCCGGGGGUACCUGAAGUGCGUAACCGCGAGGAGCGCCCUAGGGUAAAACUGGUGACUGGGGCUAAGU
rnacentral:rRNA from 1 species